GUGGAGUGUGAUGGCACACACCUGUAAUCCCAGCAACUUGGGAGGCUGAGGCAGGAGGAUCACAAGUCUGAGGACAGCCUCAGCAAUUUAGUGAGUCCCUAAGAAACUUAGUGAGACCCUGUCUCAA
rnacentral:sRNA from 1 species